CCUACGGGUGACAGCAGUGGGGAAUAUUGCGCAAUGGGCGAAAGCCUGACGCAGCGACGCCGCGUGAAGGAUGAAGGUCUUCGGAUUGUAAACUUCUUUUGUUAGGGAAGAAAAUGAAGGGUUCUAAUCAUUAAUCAACGGCCAACACCUUCCCAGCAGCCGCGGUCAUACGGAGGGUGAGAGGGUUCGUCGGAAUCACUGGUGGUAAAGAGCGCGUAGGCGGGAUAGCAAGUCAGAUGUGAAAUCCUAUGGCUCAACCAUAGAACUGCAUGUGAAACUGUUAUUCUGGAGUGUGGGAGAGGAAGGUGGAAUUAUUGGUGUAGGGGUAAAAUCCGUAGAGAUCAAGAGGAAUACUAGUGGCGAAGGCGACCUGCUAGAACAUAACUGACGCUGAGGCGCGAAAGCGUGGGGAGCAAACAGGAUUAGAUACCCCUGUAGUC
rnacentral:rRNA from 1 species